GGGGCGUAGCUCAGCUGUGAGAGCUCUUGACUGGCAGUCAAGAGGUCAGGGGUUCGAUUCCCCUCGUCUCC
rnacentral:tRNA from 1 species